UACAUUUGGGAGCAGUUGGCUUCUGGUUUUAAACACAAGAAUUUUCGAUCUCGAGAAGGCGUGUGUCUGUGUCUUAUUGAAACCUUAAACAUUUUUGGGGCUCAGCCACUAGUCAUCAGCAAAUUGAUACCACAUUUGUGUAUCCUGUUUGGAGACUCCAACAGUCAGGUGAGAGAUGCUGCAAUAUUGGCUAUAGUGGAGAUUUAUAGACAUGUGGGAGAAAAAGUGAGGAUGGAUCUUUAUAAGAGAGGAAUUCCCCCUGCUAGACAGGGUCUGGCCCUGUUGCCUAGGCUGCAGUGCAGUGUUACGAUCUCGGCUUACUGCAACCUCCACCUCCCGGGCUGAAGCCAUCCUCUCACCUCAGCUUCCCAAGUAGCUGGGACAACAGACGUGUGCCACCGCGCUUGGCUACUUUUUGUAUUUUUUGUAGAGAUAGGGUUUCACCAUGUUGCCCAGGCUGGUCUUGAACUCCGGAGCUCAAGCAGUCCUCCUGCCUCAGUCUCUCUGGAAUUAUGGGCGUGAACCACUGCAGUCAGCUGAAAUGUUUUAAAAUUCAAAAGAUACAAAAGGAUAUAUAUGUUGUCACCAUUUAAAAAGUUCUUAAGGUCCUGUAAUAUUUUUUGUCAUUGUUUCAUUAUAUAUUCAUUUAUUAUUUAGUAUGUAAUUAUGUACCAUUAUCAAGUAAUCAUCCUUUGAUACCAGGUGGUAAUAGUCAUUAUUUGGGAGAUGCUUGAGCAAGGAUUUACUAAAAAUAUUAAUUAAUUCAUCAAGUAAAUCCUUUAAAAGUAUGUACUGUUGAAAGGUACCAUACAAUUUAUUGGGUAACAGAAACUGUAUGAGAAUCAGUUUUUUAAAAGCUUAAUAAGUAACCAAUUGUAGGGUUCUUACAAUU
rnacentral:sRNA from 1 species